rnacentral:rRNA from 1 species
UACGUAGGGUGCAAGCGUUAAUCGGAAUUACUGGGCGUAAAGCGUGCGCAGGCGGUUUUGUAAGUCUGAUGUGAAAUCCCCCGGGCUCAACCUGGGAAUUGCAUUGGAGACUGCAAGGCUAGAAUCUGGCAGAGGGGGGUAGAAUUCCACGUGUAGCAGUGAAAUGCGUAGAUAUGUGGAGGAACACCGAUGGCGAAGGCAGCCCCCUGGGUCGAUACUGACGCUCAUGCACGAAAGCGUGGGGAGCAAACGAGG